GGGGGCAGGGGGCUAACUGCAAGUCGACGAGAAACUUGUCUUCGGAUGAGGGAGUAAAGUGGCGCACGGUGUGAGUAACGCGUGAGUAACCUACCUCCGCUGUUCGGGAUAACGCCGGGAAACUGGCGCUAACCCCGAAUGAACUCUCCGGCUGCAGGGUUCGGAGACCAAAGCAGGGCUCUAUACGCAAGAUUAGCGACGUAGAUGGGCUCGCGUGCCUCUAGACUACUACGACGGGUCAAACCGCACCAACGAAGAUCAUGGCCAGACGAAGUGACGAAGCUGUUCUUGUCACCCAGCAACUGAUGCAAUCAUCAUGACGUGCUUGCGUGCGCAGCAGAAACCGCAUCUCGUGAGCUGCUCGGACGUUUCGAACCGAUGAGCUCCGCGUGAAAGAAAAAAGGACAUAAAAAAGAAAAAGCCCUGCUAAGCCGUUACCAAUGCUCCAGAGAGUGAAAAACUAUACCUUCCUUGACCGUCUCAAAACAAAAAAAACCCGCCCCCCCUUUUUUUCCUGAGCCCACCCCAACUACCUACGUUAGGCCCAUUGUUUUUAAUAAACCCCCCGCCUUCCCAGGGGGGUGACCGCCCCCCCAAAACCCCCCCCCCCAUAUUUCCGGGGGUUUUUUUAUAAACCGUCCUUCCGGAGCACCCCUAUGGGUAACAAUUAUCAAAACCCCCAUCAUGUGGGGGUCUGGACUCUAAACACUUAUACCUCCCCCCUUUAAAAACAUGAUCCCCCCCCCGUUUUUCUGUUUUUUUAUUUAAGGUAGAAAAACAAAACAAACCCUGUCUCCCCCUUGAUCGCAUAAAAAAAAGUGUGGGCCCCCUAGGC
rnacentral:rRNA from 1 species